rnacentral:rRNA from 1 species
UACAGAGGAGCCAAGCGUUGUCCGGAUUGACUGGGCGUAAAGCGCACGCAGGCGGUCGGGCGCGUGGGGUGUGAAAUCUGGCCGCUUAACGGCCAGGCGCCAUCCCAUACGGCUCGACUGGAGUGAUGCAGAGGUCGAUGGAAUUGCCGGUGUAGUGGUGAAAUGCGUAGAGAUCGGGAGGAACACCAGUGGCGAAGGCGGCUCGCUGGGCCGGUCCUGACACUGAGACGCGAAGGCGUGGGGAGCGAACGGG